rnacentral:rRNA from 1 species
UACGUAGGGUGCAAGCGUUAAUCGGAAUUACUGGGCGUAAAGCGUGCGCAGGCGGUGAUGUAAGACAGUUGUGAAAUCCCCGGGCUCAACCUGGGAACUGCAUCUGUGACUGCAUCGCUGGAGUGCGGCAGAGGGGGAUGGAAUUCCGCGUGUAGCAGUGAAAUGCGUAGAUAUGCGGAGGAACACCGAUGGCGAAGGCAAUCCCCUGGGCCUGCACUGACGCUCAUGCACGAAAGCGUGGGGAGCAAACAGGAUUAGAUACCCUGGUAGUCCACGCCCUAAACGAUGUCAACUGGUUGUUGGGUCUUCACUGACUCAGUAACGAAGCUAACGCGUGAAGUUGACCGCCUGGGGAGUACGGCCGCAAGGUUGAA